UGGGGUGUAGCCAAGUGGUAAGGCAGCGGGUUCUGGUCCCGCCAUUCGUGGGUUCGAUCCCUACCACCCCAGCCA
rnacentral:tRNA from 3 species